UACGUAGGGGGCAAGCGUUGUCCGGAUUUAUUGGGCGUAAAGAGCGUGUAGGCGGCCAGGUAGGUCCGUUGUGAAAACUCGAGGCUCAACCUCGAGACGCCGAUGGAAACCAUCUGGCUAGAGUCCGGAAGAGGAGAGUGGAAUUCCCGGUGUAGCGGUGAAAUGCGCAGAUAUCGGGAAGAACACCUGUGGCGAAGGCGGCCCACUGGCUCGAUACUGACGCUGAGGUGCGAAAGCGUGGGGAGCAAACAGG
rnacentral:rRNA from 1 species